rnacentral:rRNA from 1 species
UACAGAGGGUGCGAGCGUUGUCCGGAAUUACUGGGCGUAAAGGGCUCGUAGGCGGCCAACUAAGUCAGACGUGAAAUCCCUCGGCUUAACCGGGGAACUGCGUCUGAUACUGGAUGGCUUGAAUCCGGGAGAGGGAUGCGGAAUUCCAGGUGUAGCGGUGAAAUGCGUAGAUAUCUGGAGGAACACCAAUUGCGAAGGCAGCUCGCUGGGACGUAACUGACGCUGAGACGCGAAAGCGUGGGGAGCAAACAGG